rnacentral:rRNA from 1 species
CAGUAGCCGCGGUAAUACAGAGGGUGCGAGCGUUAAUCGGAUUUACUGGGCGUAAAGCGUGCGUAGGCGGCUAAUUGAGUCGGAUGUGAAAUCCCCGAGCUUAACUUGGGAAUUGCAUUUGAUACUGGUUAGCUAGAGUGUGGGAGAGGAUGGUAGAAUUCCAGGUGUAGCGGUGAAAUGCGUAGAGAUCUGGAGGAAUACCGAUGGCGAAGGCAGCCAUCUGGCCUAACACUGACGCUGAGGUACGAAAGCAUGGGGAGCAAACAGGAUUAGAUACCCCUGUAGUCCCUGUCUCUUAUAC